GCGACGUAGUUGCUAGGGGCGGGUGUAAGGGGUAGGGUGCAAGGGGUGUCCGGAAUUAGUGGUGGGAAAGGGAUCGUAGGGGGUUUGUCGGGUCGGCUGUGAAAGCCGGGGGCUCAAGGCCGGGCCGGCAGCCGGUACGGGCAAACUAGAAUGCGGGAGGGGAGACGGGAAUUCCUGGUGUAGCGGUGAAAUGCGCAGAUAUCAGGAGGAACACCGGUGGCGAAGGCGGGUCUCUGGGCCGAUAUUGACGCUGAGGAGCGAAAGCGUGGGGAGCGAACAGGAUUAGAUACCCUUGUAGUC
rnacentral:rRNA from 1 species